AUUGAACGCUGGCGGCAGGCCUAACAAAUGCAAGUCGAACGAGUGGCGGACGGGUGAGUAAUGUCUGGGAAACUGCCUGACGGAGGGGGAUAACUACUGGAAACGGUAGCUAAUACCGCAUACCAUCGGAUGUGCCCAGAUGGGAUUAGCUAGUAGGUGGGGUAACGGCUCACCUCGGCGACGAUCCCUAGCUGGUCUGAGAGGAUGACCGGCCACACUGGAACUGAGACACGUUCCAAGCUCCUACGGGAGGCAGCCGUGGGGAAUAUUGCACAAUGGGCGCAAGCCUGAUGCAGCCAUGCCGCGUGUAUGAAGAAGGCCUUCGUGUUGUAAAGUACUUUCAGCGGGGAGGCGUUACCCGCAGAAGAAUCACCGGCUAACUCCGUGCCAGCAGCCGCGGUAAUUC
rnacentral:rRNA from 1 species